rnacentral:rRNA from 1 species
GAAUUUUCCGCAAUGGGCGAAAGCCUGACGGAGCAAUACCGCGUGAGGGAAGACGGCCUAUGGGUUGUAAACCUCUUUUUUCAGGGAGGAAUCAAUGACGUGUACCUGAAGAAUAAGCAUCGGCUAACUCCGUGCCAGCAGCCGCGGUAAUACGGGAGUGGCAAGCGUUAUCCGGAAUUAUUGGGCGUAAAGCGUCCGCAGGCGGCCUUUCAAGUCUGCUGUUAAAGCGUGGAGCUUAACUCCAUUAAGGCAGUGGAAACUGUUGGGCUUGAGUGUGGUAGGGGCAGAGGGAAUUCCCGGUGUAGCGGUGAAAUGCGUAGAUAUCGGGAAGAACACCAGUGGCGAAGGCGCUCUGCUGGGCCAUAACUGACGCUCAUGGACGAAAGCCAGGGGAGCGAAAGGGAUUAGAUACCCCUGUAGUC